AAUCCAAACCCUAGCCGUCGCUAGCCUACCGCUCCCUCCCGGCGCUCGCCCAGUAGCGCGCCGACGCAGUGCCCUCGCCCCUAGCCGUUGCCCCCGCCGUCGCGCCGCGGCAGCUGUGCCGCGCACCUCGCCCUUGCAGUCAAAGAAGGCUUCUCCUCCUCCUGCUGACGUUGGUCGCCGGAGAAGGUCGUACUGUCCGGCGCCGGCACGGCCACAGACGACGGGGCCAAUGCCACCGACGCGAGCCCACCGGCCGGCGCGCCGCUCAACGUGCGGGCAAGGAAGUGGUGGCGGUUCCCGGCUACGGAAGGCCUCGUCACGGGCAGCGAGCGGAGUGUGCCCAACUCGUCGGACCCACUCCACAACCGCUGAAGCGCCUGUGUCAGCCGCCUGCCAUUCAUGCUGCUUCGACCUCUACUGUUAGUUAUAUCGUACCUCUGGUCGCAUGCUUUUUGGCUGCACAAUGUGGCUUGGUAUUCAGACUUCAGAGAAUUGAAUUGCGUAUACGAGUAAAUGUAGCUGAUUUUGGUCUAGCUGGUUUGCCGUUUCGAGCGUUUGUAAACACAAAUUCGUUGGCAGUUUACACCAUGCCGUGUGUAUAUAAAUUCCCUGAAAUCUGUGUCUUCGCUCAGUUCACAACAGUUUCAAGAU